rnacentral:tRNA from 1 species
GGAGCAGUAGCUCAGUUGGUAGAGCAAAGAAAAGUUUUAAAAUUACCACCGGGUCAAUUCAAAUUUACUUCAAAUUGGCAUACUGUCCGCAAGGGCAGACCUGGUUCGAAUCCAGCCCGUUUGAAAAUUAUCGUGGUCAAUUAACGCUUACUGCCUUACUUGGGUCGUUGGUUCGAUUCCAACCUGCUUCG